rnacentral:misc_RNA from 1 species
AACGCAUAUUGCGCUCUUUGGUAUUCCGAAGAGCAUGCUUGUUUGAGUAUCAGUAAACACCUCAAAACCUUUUUUAUUCUUUCAAGAAAAAAAAAGGCUUUGGACUUGAGCAAUCCCAACACCAAUCUUUUUUCAAAAAAGAGUGGGGGCGGGUUGCUUGAAAUGCAGGUGCAGCUGGACAUUCUCCUGAGCUAAAAGCAUAUUCAUUUAAUCCCGUCAAACGGAUUAUUACUUUUGCUGCAGCUAACAUAAAGGGAGUUUGACCAUUUUGGCUGACUGAUGCAGGAUUUUCACAAGAGGUCUUCAAACCCCUCUUGUUAAACUCGAUCUCAAAUCAAGUAAGACUACCCGCUGAACUUAA